GAUGAACGCUGGCGGCGUGCCUAAUACAUGCAAGUCGAGCGAACAGACGAGGAGCUUGCUCCUCUGACGUUAGCGGCGGACGGGUGAGUAACACGUGGAUAACCUACCUAUAAGACUGGGAUAACUUCGGGAAACCGGAGCUAAUACCGGAUAAUAUAUUGAACCGCAUGGUUCAAUAGUGAAAGACGGUUUUGCUUUCACUUAUAGAUUGAUCCGCGCCGCAUUAGCUAGUUGGUAAGGUAACGGCUUACCAAGGUAACGAUGCGUAGCCGACCUGAGAGGGUGAUCGGCCACACUGGAACUGAGACACGGUCCAGACUCCUACGGGAGGCAGCAGUAGGGAAUCUUCCGCAAUGGGCGAAAGCCUGACGGAGCAACGCCGCGUGAGUGAUGAAGGUCUUCGGAUCGUAAAACUCUGUUAUUAGGGAAGAACAAAUGUGUAAGUAACUAUGCACGUCUUGACGGUACCUAAUCAGAAAGCCACGGCUAACUACGUG
rnacentral:rRNA from 1 species